rnacentral:rRNA from 1 species
UACGUAGGGCGCAAGCGUUGUCCGGAAUUAUUGGGCGUAAAGAGCUCGUAGGCGGCUUGUCACGUCGGGUGUGAAAGCCCCGGGGCUUAACCCCGGGUCUGCAGUCGAUACGGGCAGGCUAGAGUGUGGUAGGGGAGAGCGGAACUCCUGGUGUAGCGGUGGAAUGCGCAGAUAUCAGGAAGAACACCCGUGGCGAAGGCGGCUCUCUGGGACGGUACUGACGCUGAGACGCGAAAGCGUGGGGAGCGAACAGG